rnacentral:tRNA from 1 species
UGCCUCGUGGCCUAAUGGUAUGGCAUCUGAUUCUGGAUCAGCAGGUUCCAGGUUCGAGUCCUGGCGAGGCAG